UAUACUUUCAGGGAUCAUUUCUAUAGUUCGUUACUAGAGAAGUUUCUCUGAACGUGUAGAGCACCCGAAACCACGAGGAGGAGGCGUAGCGUCCUCUCCUGAGCGUGAAGCCGCUCUUGGUGUUGCUUCCGCAACUGCCAUUUGCUAUUGAUGAUCGUUCCUCUCUUCCUUUGGGAGAGUGAGAGGGGGAGGAUGCCGUCUGAGUGGUUUCUGUUUACAUUACUGUUGCAAAAAGUAGGUGGAUACUUUAACAUCGUUGUUAGAUGAGGCUUUGGUUUCUUGGGGCUUUUGUUCUUUUUGUGUGGUGAUACGUGGAUUGUGUUUGUUGUUGUUUCUCUUUCUUAGUAACUACUUUGCUUUUUCCGUUGCUGGCAUUGCACAGGCACCAAUGUGUGUGGUGUAGAUGUGGUGAACUUUAUCCUGACAAGUUUUGGGCAUGCUGUCAAAUUUUCUCUCUGAGUGAGCUUUACAGUUGAAUUUGUCUGUUGUUUGGGUUUUCUUUUUUUUUUUUUAGAUUUCAUUUUUUCCUUUU